AAGACGGUUUAUAUUCACCGGCUGAAUUGCAUCAGCCAGCAGGACUUGUGCAAGGGGUGGAGCCCAAUGACGACGAUUGUAUACAAACAUAGAGCAGGUUACUUUCCAUCAGCUCACAUCCUGGCAGAUGAAUACAGUUCUUCAUUCUGUCCGUCAGAAACUAACAAAACUAAAUGAAUAUCUGUUUUAUCUCAAUUGUUUCUCGUAGACAGUCAGAGCAAACUGAGACCUUAAACAAGUCUCCUGCUUUACACAUUUCCUAAUUAAAGACAGCAAAGUUUUACAAAGGCUGUGUCUCAUCUACAGUUUCACAGAUCUCAACUGUGCUCAGAUUUGCCAAGAUACUGAAAAGUUCUUUACCACCCCCGAACGGCCAAAUCCCCCCGGUGGAGGCGGAGCCGGGCAGAACGGGACCUGGGUUGAUAGUGAUUUACCCCUGGAUUACAAGCCACCGCGUCCUCUGAGCUGAAGUUUGCACCCGGUGCCGCUCCGAGCACAAAGGAACAUGGAUAUGGAAUGUGUGACCUAUUGAAACAGAGCGUGGGGCCCAGGCGACGCCCCGACUCCAUAGGAUUGCGGCCAGAAGAUUGAACAGAGAGGAAACGGAUGCUCGAAAUAUCACUACAGACAGGAAGAACAACACACACGCACACAUGCCAAAGCUUUGUGUCAUACCAUUGUACUGUUACAUCAGAAUGUUGACUGACCUGAACACAGUACUCCUUACUGGAAUUCAUUUCAGUCCAUUCUGCUUGUUUCUGUAGGGGUAUUCUUGUAUGUAGGGAAAACUAAAAC